AAUAAGUCUCGGCUAACUACGUGCCAGCAGCCGCGGUAAAACGUAGGAGACGAGCGUUAUCCGGAUUUACUGGGCGUAAAGCGCGUGCAGGCGGCAUGGCAAGUUGGAUGUGAAAGCUCCCGGCUUAACUGGGAGAGGUCGUUCAAUACUGCCAGGCUUGAGAGUGGUAGAGGGAAGCGGAAUUCCGGGUGUAGUGGUGAAAUGCGUAGAUAUCCGGAGGAACACCAGUGGCGAAAGCGGCUUCCUGGCCCAUUUCUGACGCUCAGACGCGAAAGCUAGGGUAGCAAACGG
rnacentral:rRNA from 1 species